rnacentral:rRNA from 1 species
AUUGAACGCUGGCGGCAUGCUUUACACAUGCAAGUCGGACGGCAGCACAGAGAAGCUUGCUUCUUGGGUGGCGAGUGGCGAACGGGUGAGUAACAUAUCGGAACGUACCGAGCAGUGGGGGAUAACUAAUCGAAAGAUUAGCUAAUACCGCAUAUCUUCUGAGGAAGAAAGCAGGGGACCAUUUGGCCUUGCGCUGUUUGAGCGGCCGAUAUCUGAUUAGCUAGUUGGUGGGGUAAAGGCCUACCAAGGCGACGAUCAGUAGCGGGUCUGAGAGGAUGAUCGGCCACACUGGGACUGAGACACGGCCCAGACUCCUACGGGAGGCAGCAGUGGGGAAUUUUGGGCAAUGGGCGCAAGCCUGAUCCAGCCAUGCCGCGUGUCUGAAGAAGGCCUUCGGGUUGUAAAGGACUUUUGUCAGGGAAGAAAAGGGCGGGGUUAAUAUCCCUGUCUGAUGACGGUACCUGAAGAAUAAGCACCGGCUAACUACGUG